rnacentral:rRNA from 1 species
UACGGGGGGGGUAAGCGUUGUUCGGAAUUACUGGGCGUAAAGGGCGCGUAGGCGGCCUACUAAGUCAGACGUGAAAUCCCCAGGCUUAACUUGGGAACUGCGUCUGAUACUGGAAGGCUUGAGUGCGGGAGAGGGAUGUGGAAUUCCAGGUGUAGCGGUGAAAUGCGUAGAUAUCUGGAGGAACACCGGUGGCGAAGGCGGUUCUCUGGGCCUUACCUGACGCUGAGGAGCGAAAGCGUGGGGAGCGAACAGG